UACGUAGGAUGCGAGCGUUAAUCGGAAUUACUGGGCGUAAAGUGUGCGCAGGUGGCUUCGCAAGUCGAGUGUGAAAUCCCCGGGCUUAACCUGGGAAUUGCGCUCGAAACUACGGAGCUGGAGUAUGGCAGAGGGAGGUGGAAUUCCACGUGUAGCGGUGAAAUGCGUAGAGAUGUGGAGGAACACCAAUGGCGAAGGCAGCCUCCUGGGCCAAUACUGACACUCAUGCACGAAAGCGUGGGGAGCAAACAGG
rnacentral:rRNA from 1 species